rnacentral:rRNA from 1 species
AGUGAACGCUGGCGGUAGGCCUAACACAUGCAAGUCGAACGGCAGCACAGUAAGAGCUUGCUCUUACGGGUGGCGAGUGGCGGACGGGUGAGGAAUACAUCGGAAUCUACUUUUUCGUGGGGGAUAACGUAGGGAAACUUACGCUAAUACCGCAUACGACCUACGGGUGAAAGCAGGGGAUCUUCGGACCUUGCGCGAUUGAAUGAGCCGAUGUCGGAUUAGCUAGUUGGCGGGGUAAAGGCCCACCAAGGCGACGAUCCGUAGCUGGUCUGAGAGGCUGGUCGGCCGCACUGGAGCUGAGACACGGUCCAGACUCCUACGGGAGGCAGCAGUGGGGAAUAUGGGACAAUGGGCGCAAGCCUGAUCCAGCCAUACCGCGUGGGUGAAGAAAGCCUUCGGGUUGUAAAGCCCUUUUGUUGGGAAAGAAAAGCAUCAGGUUAAUACCCCGCUGUUCUGACGGUACCCAAAGAAUAAGCACCGGCUAACUUCGUG